AGCGCAGGCCGGAUGGCCGCCCCGCACCUUUUUAUUAUUCAAGGCACAUAUCAAUCUUUUGAAUGCAUAAAAGGUGCGGGGAGGAAAGUCCGGGCUCCACAGGGCAGCGUAACGGGUAAUACCCGUCAUCGUAAACUGGGGACAGCGACCAUUUUUCUUGUAUAUAAAUAAUUGCUGAAAAAUGGUCGCUGUCCCCAGUUUACGGACGGAUAAGAGCCACAGAGACGAGUCCCGCACCUUUUUAAUAUUCACAAAGCAGAAACCAUAUGCCUCAUAGAAGUUGUGAAUGCGUAAAAGGUGCGGGAGUGAAACGAGGCAAUCUCUACGCGGAGCAAAACCAAAUAGGCCCCGCCAUUAAGGAUGGCCCGUUCGGAAGAGCGGGGUGGGUAGGUCGCGUGAUCCUGGCAGCAAUGACAGGACAAGAUAGAUGGCCAUUACCCCGCACCUUUUUAAUAUUCAAAUUAUGUGUUUAGUUUUUGAAUAGAUAAAAGGUGCGGGGACAGAACCCGGCUUAUAGGCCUGUGCUUUCA
rnacentral:RNase_P_RNA from 1 species